GUGGCUCUUCUGUGCUCAUUGCUGAAGGCAGAGAUCCUGUCUCCAGACUGCACCCUUGACUCGCCUUAAAGGAACAAAGAAUCCAUUUAUGACCUAUAAGCUCCCCGUGUGUGGCAGAGCCUCCGGGAGAUCCUCCUGCCCUGUCUUCAUUUGAGAGGAGCUGUUGCAUGACUGGAGUGGGAGCUCCCCGCCUCUCUCUGGCCCCCUCAGUUGAGUGACAGGCUGAUGGGACUGUCCAGUCUCAGGUGCU
rnacentral:lncRNA from 10 species